rnacentral:rRNA from 1 species
UACGUAGGUGGCAAGCGUUGUCCGGAAUUACUGGGCGUAAAGGGAGCGUAGGCGGAUGCCUAAGUGAGAUGUGAAAUACCCGGGCUUAACUUGGGUGCUGCAUUUCAAACUGGGCAUCUAGAGUGCAGGAGAGGAAAGCGGAAUUCCUAGUGUAGCGGUGAAAUGCGUAGAGAUUAGGAAGAACACCAGUGGCGAAGGCGGCUUUCUGGACUGUAACUGACGCUGAGGCUCGAAAGCGUGGGGAGCAAACAGG